AGCGGAGGAAAAGAAACCAACAGGGAUUGCCUCAGUAGCGGCGAGUGAAGCGGCAAGAGCUCAGAUUUGAAAUCGUGUUUCGGCACGAGUUGUAAAUUGCAGGUUGGAGCCUUUGUGGAGGCGCGUGUCUAAGUCCCUUGGAACAGGGCGCCAUUGAGGGUGAGAGCCCCGUGCGACGCGUGCUGAAGCUGUAAGGCCCUUCUGACGAGUCGAGUUGUUUGGGAAUGCAGCUCUAAGUGGGUGGUAAAUUCCAUCUAAGGCUAAAUACUGGCGAGAGACCGAUAGCGAACAAGUACUGUGAAGGAAAGAUGAAAAGCACUUUGAAAAGAGAGUGAAACAGCACGUGAAAUUGUUGAAAGGGAAGGGUAUUGGGCUCGACAUGGGAUUUGCGCACCGCUGCUCCUUGUGGGCGGCGCUCUGGGCUUUUCCUGGGCCAGCAUCGGUUUCCGCUGCAGGAGAAGGGGCUCUGGAAUGUGGCUCUUCGGAGUGUUAUAGCCAGGGCCAGAUGCUGCGUGCGGGGACCGAGGACUGCGACAUCUGUCACGGAUGCUGGCACAACGGCGCAAUACCGCCCGU
rnacentral:rRNA from 1 species